rnacentral:lncRNA from 1 species
UUUCGAAGUUUAAUAUGUUUCUAAUCUUCGGAUAUAAGAAUAUAACAUCAUAAAUCCUCCAAAGAGGGGAAAAAAAACAUCAGUGAAUCAAGAAAGAAUUUACCUGGGUAUUUAGGUUUAGCGAUUCUAUUCUUCCACUUGUAAGCACCAGAAUUAAAACUACUUAGAGACCUGAAAAAGGUUGAAAGUGUGAGCGUGUUUUUGUACAGUAAAAGUCAGUGAAAUCAUGCCAAAAGCAU